CCCUUCACCCAAGAGCUCUGAUGGGGAUGUACAAGGAGGUGAAUGUUGUUUGCAUGACUGCUGAGACAACAUCCAUUCUGGAGUCUAUGGAUCAAGGAGAAAUUUUGACUUUCACAUUUUAUUAUUAAGAAAUAACAUCACCUAAGGCUAUACUUGCCAUAGAUAAUGAUUCCUCUGAUGGAUCUGAGUAGUCAAUCGAAAACCUUCUGGAAAGAAUUCUCCGUUCUAGAUGCCAGUAACAACAACUGUAAUUGAUAGGAGGAGGUCAAAAUAUUAACAUUAAGAGGAGUUUAGAAGAAGUUGAUUCCAACACUCGUGGAUAACUUUGAAGGGUUUACGACUUCAGUGGUGGAAGUAACUGUAGUUAUGGUGGAUAUAAUAUGCAAGAAAACUACAGUGAGCGUGGGCCCUGAGGAUGUGACUUUUGAAAUGGAGUUUCGCUCUUGUUGCCCAGGCUGGAGUGCGGUGGCGUGAUCUCGGCUCAUUGCAACCUCCGCCUCCCAAGUUCAAGCAAUUGACCUCAGGUGAUCCACCUGCCUUGGCCUCCCAAGGUGCUGGGAUUACAGGCAUGAGCCUCUGCACCCAGCCACCCUUCUUUUUUCUAAUGACUAUUUUUUUAGGGGGGAAGGAGUGGGGAUACCAGUAGGUAUACCAGUAAUUAACCACACUUGAAAAACAUGGUCAUUGCCAUCACAGAAACUCCCAUAUGUAGCUAGUACCUGAUUGCAGGGAAGUUAAAUAGUAGGACAUAUCAUAUUCAAGAACAGAUGUUUAGGAUUUGCUGGAAUCCAUUCUUCCUAACCCUUUUAGUACUCCUGAGUGGGUACAUUUCCACCAGUGGCCAGAUUCUAAUUUGCAUUGGCAUGGAAUGUAGAACUGGAAUUAAUAUCUUGGGUAGGUGGCAGCAGCAGCACUCUGCCAGGAUAUGUUACAGGCUUGCUUUCUUUGUGAACAUGUCUUGAUGGAUAGGAUACUGAGAGAUUGUUGCAGCAUUUGUCUUGCUAGGGAAUAAAUCUUUUUGUGGCUUUUCGAUUUUUAAAUUCAUUUAUGGCUACCCAUCACCUAACAAACUCUAGAGAUCUGAAAAGAGUAUGUAGUUUACAAAUGAAAGUAAAGGCGUCUUUUAGAUUUUACAUCUUUCACUGAGUUUGAAUAAACCACCUAGAAAAUUUUCCAUAAAAGAGAAGUUUUGAGUCAUUGUUUAAAUGUAUUAUUAUAACAUUGGAAUUUUAAGAAAAAUUUGUUCUACAUAUUAAAUUUAAAUUUUAACUGUAAACGAAAAUGACUCUAGGUUCACAAGUUUGGGUAAUCCUGACUAUACUAUGUUUUAAUUGAGUAACCUUGGGGAAAUGAUUAACCCCUCCAAGUUCCUGUUUCUUUCUCUUUAAACAGGGAAUGAUAGUGUAUGUAAUACAUUAUAUCGUUGCGAUGAGCAAAUGAGGUAAUUCUUGUCAUGCAGUUAGCACAGCGCCCAGCUGUUACAGUCUUCUCCCCCUGGCCUCUAGUACCACUCAUUUAAUAGCUGUUAUCGGCCGGGUGUGGUGGCUCACUCCUGUAAUCCCAGCACUUUGGGAGGCUGAGGCCGGCAGAU
rnacentral:lncRNA from 10 species